rnacentral:tRNA from 2 species
GCCCACAUAGCUCAGUAGGAAGAGCAUACCCUUGGUAAGGGUAAGGUCACCAGUUCGAAUCUGGUUGUGGGCU